rnacentral:lncRNA from 1 species
AGAGAGAGAGAGAGAUAGGGGUUUACAGUGACAGCAGUAGCGGAGCGUGAAGGCUUGGCGUUGGCGACUCGGUAGCAGCAGGUACAACUCACAAGCCUGGAGAAAGCUCGAUGUUUAAUCACACCAGAAGUGCGGAGACUGCCGUGCUCAGCAGCUGUCGAAGUACCUCCGAGUACUAGAUCGAUUUGGGAAAACCAAAUGAGAGAGAGAGAGAGG